GAUAAAUAAAUAAAAAAGUGGGUCACCACAAAAGAAAACAAAAAUAACAAAACAAAAAAACCACCAAGGACAACAAGAUGUGUCAAUCUGUUACUGAUCAAUCGAGGCAGGCACCUUCAUGGACAGAUCCCUUCACUCAGCACCUUCAACCUAUCCUUUCUUUUAUUGCCAACUAAAAUAUCAUGAAAGCUGAGGACUCCGGGAGGCAGUUCUGUACCUCACUUUAAAGUGAGCAUGCUCAGGGAAUGUGAUCCUAACAUGCUCAUGAAUGAAAGUUCACACCCCUCUCUAUGAAGAUGUAUGCACCCUUACAUAACAUUCCUAUGCUUCCUCUGUUGGGGAGUGAGUCUUAGCUUUGCUUUGGAAAUGACUCCUGUACCAGCUUUGCCUGAUUCAGGCACUAAGUAUCUCUCCACUGGUGUCCUAUUUCCUUGUUUAUUUUGGCUCUGAGUUAGACUUGCUGGAUCAGGUUACUCAUUGGUGUUACCCCAGGGAAGCUUUGAAUUGCUGGUUACAUUAAAGAACCCCUUUCAGGAAAGACCUCUCUGCACUGCUGGAUAUAAAACAGAUCAAUAGUAUUCCACAGUGAAUACACACUCAUCAUCUACUAAUUGGUUGAAAGGUAUCUAUGCUGUUUCCAUUCCCUAGCUGUUGUGAAGAGAGCAGCAGUGAACAAGGCUGAGCAAGCGUCUGUGGACCAUGAUGUGGAGUCCUUUGGGCAUGGGCCAAGGAGCGGUACAGGCGAGGAAGUUUGGCCCUUCAAAGCCACCUACAAUGGCUUUGAAGCCUCACUGGAGAACUACUGCAGGGUACAGAAGGACUGGUGACUCUUACGGAGAAAGAUGAGCCCGGCUCAGGCAUGAGAUUUUCAGAGGCUUAGUGCAUGAUCAUCAUGGCUCACGGCAAGCAUAACAGUGAGCAGGCAGUCUCUGGGACAGCAGCUGAGAGGCAUAACCUGAUGCUUGGUGAGAGAGGAGGAGAAUCACACUGGGCCCUGCUGAAUUCACCUCCUCCAACAAGGCCACACCCCCAGUCCUUCUAAUCCUAUCAAAGAGUUCCACUCCCUGAUGACUCAGCAGUCAAUUACAUGAGCCAAUGGGAGCCAUUCCUAGUCAAACUAUCAGAACAUCAAAACUCAUUACUGAUUUUAAAUAGAAAUAAAAUAUUAACAGAAGAA
rnacentral:sRNA from 1 species